rnacentral:rRNA from 1 species
GACAGAGGGUGCAAACGUUGUUCGGAAUUACUGGGCGUAAAGCGCGUGUAGGCGGCUAAGUAAGUCGGGCGUGAAAUCCCACGGCUCAACCGUGGAAGUGCACUCGAAACUGCAUAGCUAGAGUCCUGGAGAGGAAGGUGGAAUGCUUGGUGUAGAGGUGAAAUUCGUAGAUAUCAAGCGGAACACCGGUGGCGAAGGCGGCCUCUGGACAGUGACUGACGCUGAGACGGCGAAAGCGUGG